rnacentral:rRNA from 1 species
UACGAACCGUGCGAACGUGGUUCGGAAUCACUGGGCAUAAAGGGCGCGUAGGCGGCUUUUCAAGUCAGGGGUGAAAUCCGGCAGCUCAACUGUCGAAGUGCCUUUGAUACUGGGAAGCUCGAGGGAGGUAGGGGUGUGUGGAACUUCCGGUGGAGCGGUGAAAUGCGUUGAUAUCGGAAGGAACGCCGGUGGCGAAAGCGACGCACUGGACCUCUUCUGACGCUGAGGCGCGAAAGCGUGGGGAGCAAACAGG